rnacentral:rRNA from 1 species
GACGAACGCUGGCGGCGUGCUUAACACAUGCAAGUCGAACGGAAAGGCUCUGCUUUUGUGGGGUGCUCGAGUGGCGAACGGGUGAGUAACACGUGAGUAACCUGCCCUUGACUUUGGGAUAACUUCAGGAAACUGGGGCUAAUACCGGAUAGGAGCUCCUGCUGCAUGGUGGGGGUUGGAAAGUUUCGGCGGUUGGGGAUGGACUCGCGGCUUAUCAGCUUGUUGGUGGGGUAGUGGCUUACCAAGGCUUUGACGGGUAGCCGGCCUGAGAGGGUGACCGGCCACAUUGGGACUGAGAUACGGCCCAGACUCCUACGGGAGGCAGCAGUGGGGAAUAUUGCACAAUGGGCGGAAGCCUGAUGCAGCAACGCCGCGUGCGGGAUGACGGCCUUCGGGUUGUAAACCGCUUUCGCCUGUGACGAAGCGUGAGGACGUAAUG